rnacentral:rRNA from 1 species
AACGAACGCUGGCGGCAGGCCUAACACAUGCAAGUCGAGCGCCCCGCAAGGGGAGCGGCAGACGGGUGAGUAACGCGUGGGAAUCUACCCAUCUCUACGGAAUAACGCAUGGAAACGUGUGCUAAUACCGCAUACGUCCUUCGGGAGAAAGAUUUAUCGGAGAUGGAUGAGCCCGCGUUGGAUUAGCUAGUUGGUGGGGUAAAGGCCUACCAAGGCGACGAUCCAUAGCUGGUCUGAGAGGAUGAUCAGCCACACUGGGACUGAGACACGGCCCAGACUCCUACGGGAGGCAGCAGUGGGGAAUAUUGGACAAUGGGCGCAAGCCUGAUCCAGCCAUGCUGCGUGAGUGAUGAAGGCCCUAGGGUUGUAAAGCUCUUUCACCGGUGAAGAUAAUGACGGUAACCGGGGAAGAAGCCCCGGCUAACUUCGUGCCAGCCGCCGCCGUAAUAC